rnacentral:rRNA from 1 species
AUGUUGCAUUAUGACAAUCCUGACUGUAACCCGGCAUUUGUACAGGCCGCCAUGAGUCAAUUUGAAUCGGAGAUUUCUGACUUGAAGAAUCGCCUGGAAGCACAAGAGAUUGAAACCCAAAAAGCCAACUCCAAGUUUGAAUUCAGUGUAUCUGAACAAGAGAAACUGAAAAAAGACUUUGAAGUAGAAAAGAAAGCCUGGGCUAAUGAAAAAACCGCCUUGAUCAACCGGGCUGAGAAGGCUGAGACGGCUCUUGCAGAAACAACCGCCGAACUAUCCGGCUUAAAAUGCCAUGUAUCUCAGAUGGUCUCAACAAUCUUUGGUAAGUUAUUCUGCAAGUGUUAA